CUUAAACCUGCACCACUGGUGAUAACAUAUGCGAUAGCAAGUUGAAUAAAAGGAACAAAUUUUAGAAAAAGACAAAAGAGAAACAAAAUUUACGUAUUUAGCUGUGAGGGGUGAAGGUUUAAGGGUGGUCCUUACUGAACUUCGAAGCGAGAAAGUUUGGAACUGAUAGAACUAUACUCUAUAAAGUUAAUUUAGUUUAAGGCUGUG
rnacentral:lncRNA from 1 species